UAAGAAAUCUUGAUGUUUAG
rnacentral:siRNA from 1 species